CGUACUGUGGCUUAAUGAGUUAAAGCGUCGGACUAGCGAUACGGGGUCGUGGGUUCGAAGCCCACCCAAACAG
rnacentral:tRNA from 1 species